rnacentral:RNase_P_RNA from 1 species
CGAGCCGGGCGGACGGCCGCGUGAAGUCCCUCAGGGGCCUUCCCGAGGAACGUCCGGGCUCCACAGGGCAGGGUGAUGGCUAACGGCCACCCGGGGUGACCCGCGGGAAAGUGCCACAGAAAACAAACCGCCGGGGACUUCGGUCCUCGGUAAGGGUGAAACGGCGGUGUAAGAGACCACCAGUGCCCAGGGCGACCUGAGCAGCUAGGUAAACCCCACCCGGAGCAAGGUCAAAAGGGAGCACCCCGGUGCUCCUGCGGGGACGUUCGAGGGCUGCCCGCCCGAGUCCCCGGGUAGACCGCACGAGACCGGCGGCAACGCCGGUCCUAGAUGGAUGGCCGUCUCCCCGACCGCCGCGAGGCGGCCGGGCGACAGAACCCGGCGUACAGCCCGACUCGUCUG